rnacentral:rRNA from 1 species
AUAAGUGAAUAGUGAAAUCUGGCGGCUCAACCGUACAGGCUAUUAUUCAAACUGCUAAGCUCGAGAAUGGUAGAGGUAGCUGGAAUUUCUAGUGUAGGAGUGAAAUCCGUAGAUAUUAGAAGGAACACCAAUGGCGUAGGCAGGCUACUGGACCAUUUCUGACGCUGAGGCACGAAAGCGUGGGAGCGAACCGGAUUAGAUACCCGGGUAGUCCACGCCGUAAACGAUGGAUACUA